AAGGUAGGGACAGUUGUGACAGUUGCCUAAGGCUGGCCAUACAUGGCACAGCCAGGUUGACUAUCCAAGGAAUUUGAAUCCAGUCAUGUACUUGGAAUAUUUUGUUUUUUAUGUAUUGUUAUUGUGAGUCAAACGUUCUCAAAGUGCAUUUCUUAGAUGGAGUCCUCAACCAUUUUCUUCUGAUCUUUCUAGGGCCAGAGUACAUUGGGAGAACUAUGCAUGCUUUUAUAGGUAGUAGUCAACACCACACACACCUACCUUGUGUCAAAUAUUUAACCAGAUAUUUUAGCUUAGCUCUUACCUCAAAGUAGGUACCAUUACUAUGUUGAAUUUGUAAGAAAAGAAACUGAGCCUCAGUUAUUACUUCCCAGAAUUCCUUUCACUUACUAAGCCUCUGGCCUCUCAUGCCUACUAAACUUUUAGGUCUGGUAUCGAUGCAAAUGUAGACUUUGUCCCUGGUUCUGAGACCUCUGAUCCCAUUUCCCUAUAGUCAAAAGUCUAUUUCAUCAUAGUCAAGUCUUUUCUAAAGAGCCUUUGCAAACCCAUAUAUUUUCAGAGCCCUCUGGCAAAUGACAAAUGCAUUUUCAAUCAAGGACCCAAGAGCCAGGCAAGAGUCAUCAAAUGACAAGAUAGUUCCUUGGUGACCCAUCUCCUAUUUUUUUAGCCCACUCUCAGGAAUACUUUUUAUAAGGAAAUAUAGUUUCCCUAGUUUCUAGAGGCUCUCUCUUCAAUUCACCAUUUUAAGCAGACUACCUAUUUGUCCUGGUUUUAGUUAUUUUCCCUCUAAAGUGAUGGAAUUUGAGCUAAUGAUGUCUAAGUGACUUGACAAAACCAUCUCUGUGAGUUAGCUCUUCAACUUUGUAGCAGGGCUUAUGGGAAAAUUUCAGAUGAUCUCUAAACUGCAUUUUCACUUCUAUUAGAUCACCUUGAAUCUACUUCUAUUCUUGACUCAUAGUAUAUGUGGCAGGCAGUUCAUUAAUUAUGAGGAUCAAACUAAUGAAGUGAAUUUUUCAAGAAUAGCAGGGUUUUUUUUUUCCUCCUGAUUUGAGCCAGUAUAUGAGUGCAUAUGCACAUGUGGCCGAAUGUGUGAGCCAGAAAAAAAAAAAAAAAUUAAUGUAGCAGCAAUGCCUUGACAGCAUGCUAAUUAGCUCUUGGCCUGGGAAUGUACAGACCAGACAAGGGCUCUGAGCCUGCUGUGAAUUAUAGAUGCAGGAAUGCUUCAGUGUCUACUUCUUUCUGCUCUGAUGUCAUUGAUCAGCCCAGUAUUAUCACAGGGUUGUACCAGCAGGUCAAUAUUCUCAGAAGGGGACAGCUUUUACGUGAAACAAGAAUGUAAAGCUUAUGUCCUGAUCUUCCAUAGUAACUUGUCUCCUUGGAAUAACUAGUAUUUUUUUGUUUUAUUUUAUUUUCAUGGCAAAGGGCCCUUCUUUGUAUAGGGAUUGCUGCCCAUCCUUUCUCUGCCACUAAGUAUUUAUUAGAAUUAUUAUUACAGAGAACACUCUUUCAGACAAUCUUGAAAUAGCGCCACUUCAUUUUCCUGCCCAAGAUAACUUAAUAAUGGCCAUCCUGAAAAAGAUUCACAACCAGAUCACUAGUCCCCAGAUGCUGGUGUCGUACUAUUCCAGGGGUGCUCUGAUGCAGGACUUCCAUUGCACUCCAAAGCUUCUUUGUGUUUGUGGAGUCAUCAAAUACUAAACCUGGAAGAGGCCUUUAGAGACCUUUCCCAAUCAACUUAUUUUUCAUGUGAAGAAACUAACAGACCAGGAGUUUUUCGAAUUGCUCCCCAUUCACACUUUGCAAAUCAGAGGCAAGCCAAGGUAAACACACGUUUCUAGAUUUUACCCUCAGUCCUCCGGUUGCAUUACAGGCUUGGUUUUUUGAGCUCAUCCAGGUGGCACCUGUUUUGCUGAGGACUGGGAGGCUGGGAUGGCCUCCAGUGUAACUUGACCAACCAAUCAGCAAUAAGGAGUGAAGGCAGCAUGGGAGCCAAGGGACUCUAACCCUCAUGCUGUUUCCCUUAAUUGUCACUCCAGCGAAUCUCCCACUUCAUCCCAGGCUUAACCCUCCUUCUAAGGGUCCCCACGCUCUCUGCCCCAGCAGCCUAGGAGAGACAUUCAGUAUGCUGCAGUGAAAUCAAACUGUUUGAUGAGAGCUUUCGAGCCUAAUUACAUAGAAGGUUUCUUCCAGUGAAAGGAAAGAGGAAAGAGAAAGGGAAAAAAAUUAAAUUGAAGUGUAAAUCAGUCAAGGGCUUAGAUCCUGAGCUUGCUUUCUUUUUAAUCAAGAGUAAAAUGAGAGGAGAGUUUGAAGGAUCAUCACAAGACGUCAUUAACUACCCAAGGAGCUCUUGACAGAAGAUGGUUUGUCUUGAAAAGGAAAAAUGCACAAUUUGUCCAAAAAAGGAAAAAUCUGAAGGUGGUGGGGUUCUUCGAAACAUGGCACUGAGGGAUAGGACAGUUGGUUUUUCUGUGACUAAUACCUCUUUUAUUCUAGAUGGCUGCCAGAUUUCCUUACAUAUUUCAGGUGCUUAAUAAAUGUUUUAAAGCAGUGAUUUGAUAAAUAUGUAAUGUGCAACUGAGGUGCUUGUUCUGUUAUGUAGGAAAGUGUAGCAUCCUUUUUCUUAAGUCUUAGGCAUUCUACCUGAAGUGAGUGCUCAGGUUUUGAGUGAUUUUCCUUUGUGGUCAUCAUAGGCUCAGUGUAUCUCCAUAAAUUAUUGCUAUUCAUAUAAUGUUUUACAGUGUAACAGAAAAAAAAUUCAUUGUCAUUUUUUGAUCUUUACCACAGCCCUAUGUGAUAGGAGAAUAAGUGGUAGAGCUGUUAUUUGGUCCAUUUUUAAACUGAUUCAAUAAUAAUAAUAAUAAUAAUAAUAAUAAUAGUAGUAGUAGUAGUAGUAAUAAAAACAAGCUUAAAAGACUUGACCAAAGUCGUUCAAGCAUUAAAUGACAGAGUAGAAACUGAUACCCAGCCUUUGUCCACUAUAUCAUCCUGAAUGGACAUAAUAUUUUAUGUAGAAUUUCUGAGAAUUCCUGCAGAAGAAGGGUAAGAGACUAAGUAGAGAGCAGUUUACAGGAAAAAAAAGCAUUGGUCUUCACAAUUCAUUGUACAGUAGUUAUAAUUAGGAAUGCGAGGCAUUGCACAGGAACUGCAGUGGUACUUGAAACAGGAACUUUGACCUCAAGUUAAAAAUAAUGUAGCUACAAGUUCUUUAAAGGCAAUCUUAGAUCUCUCUUUCAUAUCCACAGAGCACCUCCCACUCUAUUACUUGGAAAGAUUCAGCCUUUGUAGACAUUAUGAGUCUAUGUACAUUCUUCCCCCCCCCCCACCAAUGCUCUUCCUAGUAGUUGAGCAUUCAUUCUGAAGUACAAAGUCUUCCUGCUGCUCUCCAAUGGGAGUCCUCUUGGCCUACAGAAGGAGGAACAAGCAGAUCAUGUCCUCUUUCUAUCAAGGACAAAAUUUCACCCUUAACUUUCAUGAUCUGGCCUUUGGUUAUUUAUUGAGUAUGUUCACCCUGUCCCUACUAUAUUGUCCUUCUAUAUUUUCAUUUCUUCUCCCCAUUUCCCACACAAUCACUCUUUCUUAUCAUAGUAUCAAAUGCCGAAACGUUUAUGUCAUCUCAUAAGCCCUCUCUGAAUGACCCUGCUGAAGAGCACUGUUUCAAAUGUCUUUAAAUGUUUCUUUUUUCAUUAUAGCUUGAAUAUCUCUGUGGUAUAUUUUGUGUGUAUAUUGCUUCCAUCAACAUGCUGGAAUAUAAGUACUGAGUACUAGAAUAUAAGAACAGAGACUGCAUUGGUCUUUUUCAUGGUUGUAUCUUCAGAGUCUAAAACAGCAACCAAGAAAGAGUGAGUUUCUAUAAACAUACAA